CGGUGACCUUCGGGCUGUUCCUGGCGAGGAAGCUGUCGCUGACCAGGGCCGUGUUCUACAUCGUGAUGCAGUGCCUCGGCGCCAUCUGCGGCGCCGGCGUCGUCAAGGGGUUCCAGUCGGGGCUGUACAUGAGCAGCGGAGGCGGCGCCAACGCCGUCGCUGCCGGCUACACCAAGGGCGAUGGCCUCGGCGCCGAGAUCGUCGGCACCUUCGUCCUCGUCUACACCGUCUUCUCCGCCACCGACGCCAAGAGGAACGCCAGGGACUCCCAUGUUCCCGUAAGUGCUCCUCCUUGUUCGAGUAACAUGUGGUUUCAUUUUCCUGCCGUGCUUCAUGAGUUCUGAUUGUUCAAACAGAUCCUUGCCCCACUGCCAAUUGGGUUCGCGGUGUUCCUGGUCCACCUUGCCACCAUCCCCAUCACCGGCACCGGCAUCAACCCGGCGAGGAGCCUUGGCGCUGCCAUCAUCUACAACAAGUCGCACAACUGGGCAGACCACGUGAGUGAACUGAAACUGAAACCAAACCCCCUUUUUCCUCCUGACCUGAAACAAAAAGGAACCGUUUUUCUUUCUUUCUCAAAAGCAAAAGGAACCGUUUUUGCAGUAAUCGUUGCAGUAGCUUAAAAUUGAUACAGACACACAGCUGUUCCGGCAUAGCUGCUUCCUUUAAGGCCUGAUGUGAAAUUGGGAAGUUUAACCUGAUGGACUGAUGUAAAUUGUGGUGUCUCCAUGUAAAAAAGAAAAAGAAAAUAAGUGGCAGCAGACAAGUAGCAGCAAUAAUUAAGCAGCUGUAGUUGUAGCUGAUGCCUGAUGGGAUGUCAUUCUAGUUAUUUAACUAUGAAAAGUCUACCCUCAUAUGAAGAAAAAUGCUCAAAGACUUGCUUCAGUGUAGCAGGCAACCACCACCUUCCAUUAUAUUUCUUCAUCCUAAACCUUCAUUAUAUAUAAUUCCCCUAUGAUUUUGCUUUAAUUGUCUGUUGUACAAUUGCUAACCCGCCCCUCCAAUCUUCGCUUUUGCAGUGGAUCUUCUGGGUCGGCCCCUUCAUCGGCGCCGCCCUGGCAGCCGUCUACCACCAGGUGGUCAUCAGAGCAAUCCCGUUCAAGACCAAGUCCUAAGCUUGCUGCUUUCUGAUGAUGGGGCGGCCGUUUCCCGUGCCUACUAUGUUGUUACCUUGGGACUCCCGAUUUCAAUUCCAAUUCCAAAGUUUGAUGAUGUACUUUGCUCUUGUCUUUCACCCGAGAAC
rnacentral:lncRNA from 1 species